AACGUAGUAAAGUACUAUUUAAAAAAGACAAAUUACAGUCGGAGUCCCUACCAGUUAAGCUAACUGGUGGAUACAAGUUUUGCAUCAGUUCUGAUUAAGAUGGCAGCCACUUUCCACAGGGAGGCGCUGUUGCUCCACACACACACACACACACACCCGAACACCUCCUCCGCCGUGCAAACACCCGGCGUGCCCGAGUGUCCACCUGCUUUGCUCAGCCCCGGUCGUUUCUCCUCUCGGAUACUAAUUGCGCGGGGAGGUAAACACGGCAGUCAAGUGGAGAGGACGGCGAGUCAAGCGUGAAUAUCAAUCUCCCCACAUCAGUGUCAUCAGAUGACUUUGACUGAGUUGAAGGCGGGCCUCAUUAGAGAUGUGGUGCAGGCAGGGGUGCCGCGGGUGGCAAUAACAUCCAGGCGUAGGGCUCUGAUGUUCUGGAAGUCUGCAGAGCUCACCAGUGAAAUGAACAGAAAGUGGCUCAAGACAGAGUUCAGGAGUUCAGGAGCAGAGCAGCUAUGGAAACAUCAUCUGGCUCAAAAGUGGUAUCAGAUGCGCUUGGGUGCCCACACAUCCAUCACCUACCACACUUCAAGUGUUGCAAGCAAUGCAUGGAGACUUCAUAAAACUUAAAGCAUGCAGCCAGGACAGCACCUCAAGGCACGGAAGGCAGGAGGGGAUCAGUCAAAAUGACUUUGACAGGGACUUCUCCACUACAUCAGCAGAUGGCUGCCCCUCCCUAUACCUGCUUCUGUCAGAGGUUUCUUCCUGUUAAAAAGAGAGAGAUAUGCUGCUGGUACACCGUGGCAAUAAGGGCCCAAAGAGUUGUCUGCCCCGGAGCCUAUCACAGAGUUGUUGCGCCUGUGCUUCCUAAUGAGGCUUCUUCAAAACAGAUCAUCGCAGCGAGCGCGUCAUCUCACUGAUGCCAAAGAACACCUUUUGUGUGAUGCCUGCAGCUUCUGUCAACAUGCCAGUAUUUGAUGUCCUAAUCAGAGAGUGCACUGAAAAAAACAUGAAGUAAAACAAAUUCAUCAGUUUGCGACUGUAGCUUUGGUUUGAAAUCGCACGCAUUUGCAAAUUUGUGACUUGCCGCCCCAUCUCUGCGUGCAUUCUGGGAUAUGAGACGCCGCAGAGAAAAAAGGGAGAUGAUGAUGUACAUAGAACCCAUCAUAUAUCCAGGGCUCUAAUUACUUCCAUGCCCCUCCCCCUGUGUCUUAGAUGGAGGAAGUGGAGGAUCAGCACUUUCCAUCCCUCCUACCUGCUCUAUGUUCUUUUUCUCCUUUGUCACAGCAGGGCUCGUGUUAUUAACCUUCUGUCUGCUCAAGCACAUAGGACGCUAUGGUCCUUUCUCUCUUGCUGGAAGCUCAUUUUAGACAGUUGAGCUUCCUUUUGAAAAUUUUCAUGUCUCUCCUGCAGCAUUCUUGCCAGGAUCCAGAUCAGGAGACGAGGCAAAUGGAAGAGGAACACAUCAAAAGAGACAGAUUGACUGGACAGUGUAAAAAGGUUCUUGUUACAUUCAAGUUGAUAGUAAAGGAGAAAUAUGAAGAGAAGAGGAAGAUGAAGUGUUGAGAGGACAGAUUGAAGAAAAAUAAAAUGGCCUUCUUGAUGAAGAGCAAGUUUGAUAUUGAGUGCUUGCACGUCCAUACAUGUAUGCACGUUUGACUGAAAGCGUGCUGCACAACACCAAGGGGCCGGGGGUCUACUUAGAUUUGAUGGCUGGAGUCCUUCCCUCCCACGGCCUGCUCUCUGUCCUCUUAUUGCGGCACUCUGUCAGCCUCAUCGUUAGAGCUGCUAAGCACCUCUCAAGGUGGUUAUUGUACCUCUCAUUAGCGCAGUGUGCCGACUACGCAGCGACUGUGGACGAGAGCCAGGCAGAGACGGGAAUACUCAUUAGAUGUGAAUCAUGCGUGAACACAGAGGACCCUCCCUGCUGAUAAACUGACAGUUUCCCCUAUACGACGGGCUCAGAUACCACCCCUGUGAUGACCAGCAACCGGAACUCAUGGUGUAGCACAUAUAAAAGCUGAAUUCAUGCUCUAUUCUUUAAGGGCAUGUGAAAAUGAUUGCUGCGUUUUAAAGUGUUGCUGUGUAGCUUUUAAUUGCAGCCACAACGAGAUACACAGUAGUUAAAUACUUCUAAUCUGGCACUUAUGAGAAUAGGAAUGCCACAUAAGUGGAUUGUAAAUGUGUCUGCUGAUUCUCUGACCAAAUGUCAAUUCCGAUUUUUUUUUUCUGUCUGCAAACCUUCUCUGCAUUUCCUGUCAAUAGUUUAGCAAUUCAGUCUGUUAGCAGUGCAGCCUCUCUGCUGGUCACUGUACUGGCCUUCUGCUUGUAAUGUUUGGAAUACUUCUAAACUUAAAUGACCACACUGGUGAGUUUGCAUGUUUUAUCCAGAUUUGAAACAUGCAGUAAACAGUGUUUUCUUUACAGUCGCAGUAUUAAAUGUGAAUACGUUUGUUCUGCUGUUGGUUCUGUGAUUUUCAUGCUGAGGACUGGGCUUUGUGCUCCAUGUGGUUCCAGUAUUUUUCUGUUUCCACAUUAACCCAUAGAGUGGUACGGUGGUUAGCGCCUCAAAGCAAGAAAGACCUGGGUUUGAAUCCAAGGUGGGGCUCAUCUGAGCGGGCUCUCUCCAGGUACUCUGGCUUGCUGCAUACAGAUGAUAAAAUCAUUAGCACCUCACA